UACGAAGGGGGCUAGCGUUGCUCGGAAUCACUGGGCGUAAAGCGCACGUAGGCGGCUUCUUAAGUCAGGGGUGAAAUCCUGGAGCUCAACUCCAGAACUGCCUCUGAUACUGAGGAGCUCGAGUCCGGGAGAGGUGAGUGGAACUCCGAGUGUAGAGGUGAAAUUCGUAGAUAUUCGGAAGAACACCAGUGGCGAAGGCGGCUCACUGGCCCGGUACUGACGCUGAGACGCGAAAGCGUGGGGAGCAAACAGG
rnacentral:rRNA from 1 species